UACGAAGGGGGCUAGCGUUGUUCGGAUUUACUGGGCGUAAAGCGCACGUAGGCGGAUCGAUCAGUCAGGGGUGAAAUCCUGGAGCUCAACUCCAGAACUGCCUUUGAUACUGAGGGGCUCGAGUCCGGGAGAGGUGAGUGGAACUGCGAGUGUAGAGGUGAAAUUCGUAGAUAUUCGCAAGAACACCAGUGGCGAAGGCGGCUCACUGGCCCGGUACUGACGCUGAGGUGCGAAAGCGUGGGGAGCAAACAGG
rnacentral:rRNA from 1 species